CUGUGUAUCAACAGUACAAAGUUUGCUCCUGAACUUUCUCUAGUCCCACGUGAGAUUACUACACACACUCUUGCUUCUUGGAACCGAUAGCUGAAGGCUUUAUCAGUGAAGUCGUGCUAGUUUUGGCUCAUUUUCAGGCUCUCCGGUCCAGAAAAGGACGGAUUCCUGAAAUAAGAAGGAAAGACGCGGUGUGUGUGUGUGUGUGUGUGUGUGUGUGUGUGUGUGUGUGUGUGUGUAUACUGGAGUCUGCUCCAUACUCCUGCGACUUUACAAGCUUUAACCGCGCCUCAGAGCUCGCUGGAUUUCAACACUGCCUUUUUAAAACCCUUCGUUUUUAAAUUUUUGAUAUUUUCUGAGCGGUUUUGAUUCUUCGAAACAAAUAUGGCUAGAAUGCUGAGCAAGGACCUGCCGGAUAUCGAGAAUAUCCUUGCCCUCAAUCCGAGGGUGAAGAGCCAUGCUGUGCUCCACUCCACUGCAGCCAAGAAAGCUGAGAAAAAGCACUGGAAGAGGAACACAGAGAAAAGCUGUGAUAGCUGCGUGAAGCUGGAGAACAAUUUUGAUGACAUCAAACACACGACACUGAGCGAGCGCGGAGCACUUCGGGAAGCCAUGAGAUGCCUAAAGUGUGCAGAUGCACCUUGUCAGAAGAGCUGCCCCACUAAUCUCGACAUAAAGGCUUUUAUCACCAGCAUCUGUAACAAGAACUAUUACGGGGCAGCGAGGACGAUCCUGUCGGACAACCCGCUGGGCCUGACAUGUGGGAUGGUGUGUCCCACCUCAGACCUGUGUGUGGGUGGCUGCAACCUCUAUGCCUCGGAGGAAGGGCCUAUCAACAUCGGAGGACUGCAGCAGUUUGCUGUUGAGGUGUUCAGUAAGAUGGGUAUUCCUCAGGUGAGGAAGCCUGGCCUUCCUCCUCCUGAACAAAUGCCUGAGAGCUACCACUCAAAGAUCGCCCUGAUCGGCUGCGGCCCUGCCAGCAUCAGCUGUGCCACGUUUCUCGCCCGUCUUGGAUACAGCGACAUCACCAUUUUUGAGAAGGAGAAGUAUGUCGGCGGACUGAGCUCUUCAGAAAUCCCUCAGUUCCGCCUGCCCUAUGAGGUGGUGCAGUUUGAGCUGGACCUGAUGAAAGACCUGGGAGUGAAGAUUGUCUGCGAGAAAGGACUAGGCCAAGAAGGAAUGACACUCCAGUCACUGAAAGAGCAGGGAUAUAAAGCUGUCUUCAUUGGAAUUGGUCUACCUCAAGCUAACAGGCACAAAAUGUUUGAAGGCCUCUCUAUGGAACAGGGAUUUUAUACCUCCAAGGAUUUUCUCCCACUAGUUGCCAAGGCCAGCAAACCAGGGAUGUGCAGCUGCCGUCCAGCGUUGCCUCAGCUCCAUGGCUCUGUGAUUGUCCUGGGCGCUGGAGACACUGCCUUUGACUGUGCUACGUCCGCCCUGCGCUGCGGCGCACGCCGGGUCUAUGUGGUGUUCAGACGUGGCUUCACCAACAUCCGCGCAGUCCCAGAAGAGAUGGAACUGGCUAAGGAAGAGAAAUGCGAGUUCCUGCCUUUCCUGUCACCAAGGGAGGUUAUACUGAAGAAGGGUCUUGUGCACGCCAUGGAGUUCUGCCGCACAGAGCAAACCGAGACAGGCGAAUGGGUUGAGGACCACGAGCAGAUCAUACGUCUCAAAGCAGACUUCAUCAUCAGUGCUUUCGGCUCAGUGUUGAAUGACUCUAAAGUGAAAGAGGCCAUGGCUCCCAUCAGGUUAAACAGAUGGGGGCUUCCUGAGCUGAGCCUGGAGAGCAUGCAGUGCAGUGAGCCAUGGGUGUUUGCUGGGGGCGAUGUAGCCGGCCUCGCCAACACCUCUGUGGAGUCAGUCAACGAUGGCAAGCAGGCCUCCUGGCACAUCCACAAAUACUUACAGGCAAUUCACGGGCAGACGGUUAGCAGUGAGCCACAACUGCCUCUCUUCUACUCACCCAUCGACACUGUGGACAUCAGCGUGGAAAUGUGUGGGAUCAAAUUUCCAAACCCAUUUGGUCUGGCCAGUGCUCCACCCACCACCAGUACACCGAUGAUACGCAGAGCCUUUGAGCAAGGCUGGGGCUUUGCCCUCACCAAGACCUUCUCUCUUGACAAGGACCUGGUGACCAACGUGUCUCCACGAAUCGUGCGCGGAACCACAUCAGGUCCGAUGUUUGGCCCAGGCCAGGGUUCCUUCCUCAACAUCGAGCUAAUCAGCGAGAAAACCGCAGCCUACUGGUGCCAGAGUGUGUCCGAGCUUAAGGCAGACUUCCCUCACAAUAUUAUCAUUUCCAGCAUAAUGUGCAGCUACAACAAAGAUGAUUGGACUGAGCUUGCCAAAAUGGCAGAGGCUUCUGGAGCUGAUGCCCUGGAGCUGAAUUUAUCCUGCCCUCAUGGAAUGGGAGAGAGGGGUAUGGGACUCGCCUGCGGGCAGGAUCCAGAGCUGGUGCAGAACAUCUGCCGCUGGGUACGACAAGCUGUCACGAUCCCCUUCUUUGCCAAGCUGACCCCUAAUGUCACCAACAUUGUGGAUAUUGCCACGGCUGCACAAGCAGGUGGUGCAGAUGGCGUCACUGCCACUAACACAGUCUCAGGCCUGAUGGGACUGAAGGCAGACGGCUCUCCCUGGCCUGGCAUCGGCCGAGACAAGCGCACCACAUAUGGUGGCGUGUCUGGCAAUGCCAUUCGUCCGAUUACCCUGCGUGCGGUAUCGGCUAUAGCCCGGGCACUCCCUGGUUUUCCCAUCUUGGCCACUGGGGGCAUUGACUCUGCUGAGUCUGGCCUACAGUUCCUCCAAGCCGGCGCCUCAGUACUGCAGGUCUGCAGUGCUGUACAGAAUCAGGAUUUCACAGUGAUAGAGGACUACUGUGUGGGACUGAAAGCUCUGCUCUAUCUGAAGAGCAUUGAGGAGUUGAGGGACUGGGACGGUCAGUCUCCCCCCACUGUCCGCCACCAGAAAGGCAAACCUGUGCCCGCUAUACAAGAGCUGCUGGAUAAGAAAUUGCCAAAUUUUGGUCCAUAUCUUGAGGAAAAGAAGCUGGCCAUAGCAGACUACAAAAAGAAGCUUACCGAUCUUAAAGACAGCACACCUCCUUCCGGUGGCUCAAGAAUUAACACCCCUAAGACACCUGUGCCAGCUGUUCAAGAUGUGAUAGCCCGAGCUCUGAAGCACAUUGGAGCAUACCAGGAGCUGAACAUCCAGGAGCAAGUGCAGGCUCUUAUAGAUGAAGAGAUGUGCAUCAACUGUGGAAAGUGUUACAUGACCUGCAAUGACUCUGGAUACCAGGCCAUUACAUUUGACCCUGAGACCCAUUUGCCUGUAGUUCAGGACAGCUGCACCGGCUGCACUCUCUGCCUCAGCGUUUGUCCCAUCAUCGACUGCAUCCAAAUGGUUACCAGGACAACGCCCUAUGUGCCAAAGAGAGGCCUCCCUCAAGCCAUCAUGCCUGUAUGCUGAACGAACGAAGAGAAGGAGAGAGGAAUGAGAGAGAGAGAGAGAGAGAGAGAGAGAGAGAGAGAGAUUGAGAAUGAAUAAUGGAAAAAAAAUCACCAAAUGUCUACAUCAGAGCAUUGAUUUCAGUACAUAAUUGCAGGGUGAAAAAUGACCUUUGUUGUAAAGGAGGGGGGAGCAAAUAAUUAGUCUUGAGAAAUAAUUGCUUUAUAUUCUGAAGCCAAUUAUCCAGAAAUAAUCGCACAGCUAAAAAAUACUUGCGUUAUUUCAAAACAAUAGCGGGGCAACGUGUUGUCGUGGAGUUCAUUCGCUCCUCUUUGUCAGGGCUGUGCUAAUGAGAAUGAAGAAGGAGGAUUCAAAUAAUGGAUGUUCAUGAUGAUGCAGGGAACCCAUGCCACCACUGCAUGCUGUGUCCUCCAGCAAGACAUAGUGACAGUGCUUCCUGUAAGCUAUUAUUUAAAACAGGAAAUAAUCAGAUAUACAGGUGGUUGUCAUAACGACUGAGAAAUAUUGAUUAAUAUGAUUUGUAAACAUUUCUAACAUAUAGAACAUGUUUGGUUAUACUCAUGUUUACAGUUUUUCACCUCCAUGUACAUAUGUUCAAACAAGCGCAGCUCCUUUUGAAGCUUUGAUUAGUAAGUGGUUAUUCUGAGAGCCAGCCUGCUUGUGUUAUACUGCGAACGCCGUGUAGAAAGGUCACCGUUGACUGGUUCCAGAUCAUUAGAUAUGAAGACUAGCUGUGAUUCAUUCUAGACCCUAAAGGUCAGCUCUGACCACUUCUAUCUCAAUAAAUCCACACUGCUCCGGGUUGUGUGCCUUCAUGCAACUGCUCCAUGUCAGCAAUACAAAAUGUUACUGCACAGGAACAGGAUGUGUCACUGAGCUGUCACAAGGAAUGGCUGUGAAAAUUAUUUCAUUUAUUUAUCCUGUUGCCCAUAGUGACAAAGUAUUUUACAUGAUCUCUGUAUUCCAGAAUUGGGUAAAUAAAAUAUGAUGAGUGAAAUUUGACUACUAAUUAAAUACAAUUUGUCAUCCCAUGUUUAUCUGUAUUUAGCACUAAUAAAAAAAGCAUUUAUCACAUA